rnacentral:rRNA from 1 species
GACGAACGCUGGCGGCGUGCUUAACACAUGCAAGUCGAACGGAAAGGCCUGCUUUCCCUUGUGGAUUGCGGGUACUCGAGUGGCGAACGGGUGAGUAACACGUGAGUGAUCUGCCCCCAACUUGGGUAUAAGCCUGGGAAACUGGGUCUAAUUCCCGAUAGGACUGCAGGGUGGUGCCUGUGGUGGAAAACGAUUUUCUAGUGGUUGGGGAUGAGCUCGCGGCCUAUCAGCUUGUUGGUGGGGUAAUGGCCUACCAAGGCGGCGACGGGUAGCCGGCCUGGGAGGGUUGACCGGCAACUUUGGGCUGGGAUACCGCCCCGAAUCCCACGGGAGGCAGGAGUUGGGAAAAAUUGCCAAAGGGGGGGAGCCUUGUUCCGGCACCGCCGGGUGGGGAUUGCGGGCCUUGGGUUUGUAAAUCCCUUUGACCGCGGAGAAGGCCACCUGUUUGAAGGGUGGUGACGGUAGUGGUAGAAGAAGCACCGGCUAACUACGUG